CCUACGGGGAGCAGCAGUAGGGAAUAUUGCUCAAUGGGGGAAACCCGGAAGCAGCAACGCCGCGUGGAGGAUGAAGGUUUUCGGAUUGUAAACUCCUUUUGUUAGAGAAGAGAAUGACGGUAUCUAACGAAUAAGCACCGGCUAACUCCGUGCCAGCAGCCGCGGUAAUACGGAGGGUGCAAGCGUUACUCGGAAUCACUGGGCGUAAAGAGCGCGUAGGCGGGAUAGCAAGUCAGAUGUGAAAUCCUAUGGCUUAACCAUAGAACUGCAUUUGAAACUGUUAUUCUAGAGUGUGGGAGAGGUAGGUGGAAUUCUUAGUGUAGGGGUAGCAUCCAUAGGGAUCGAGAGGAAUACUCAUUGCGAGGGCGACCUGCUAGAACCUAACUGCCACUGACAUUGAUGCUCGAAAGUGUGGGUAUCAAACAGGAUUAGAUACCCUUGUAGUC
rnacentral:rRNA from 1 species